UGAUAAUGGAAGGGUGCGAUUGGUAUGCCUGUCCAUGGAGCCGGAACUGGGAAUCUGUUUCCAUUGUCUAUUACUUACCAGCUGAGUGACUUUUGGCAAACCACCUAACCUCUCUGUUCCGAUGCCUUCAACUGUAGGUCCUGGAGCACAUGGGCACUCCAUUAGAGACUGCAUUCCCAGCUUCCUUUGCAAGUAGAGAUGGCCAUGUGACUCAGUUUGGUAACUAAUGAUUGCCGAUCAUGUGGACUGCCCUCUCCUCUCACUUAAAUGUUUCCCUGUAAAGACUCACAGUGCCAUCCAGGAAAAGAAACUAAU